ensembl:miRNA
CUGCUGCCUUCUUGGUCUGGCACAGAGCAUGUGAGGGACCACACUGCAGCUCCACACCUGUGCCAGCCUGAGGCGGAAG